AAUUUCAGAAUUAAGAUGCAUCUAUCUUGUGUUUUUCUAUUUUUCUCCACGGGUUAUAUCGCGCAGGAAAAGAAACCAACAGGGAUUACCUCAGUAACGGCGAGUGAAGCGGUAACAGCUCAAAUUUGAAAUCUGGCCUCACGGUCCGAAUUGUAAUUUGUAGAGGAUGUUUCGAGCAUGGUCUGGCCUAAGUUCCUUGGAACAGGACGUCAUAGAGGGUGAGAAUCCCGUACGCGGUCAGGUGCCUACGCUCAUGUGAAACUCCUUCGACGAGUCGAGUUGUUUGGGAAUGCAGCUCAAAAUGGGUGGUAAAUUUCAUCUAAAGCUAAAUAUUGGCCAGAGACCGAUAGCGCACAAGUAGAGUGAUCGAAAGAUGAAAAGCACUUUGGAAAGAGAGUUAAACAGUACGUGAAAUUGUUGAAAGGGAAGCGCUUGCAACCAGACUUGCACGCAGCUAAUCAUCCGGUGUUCUCACCGGUGCACUUGGUUGCGUUCAGGCCAGCAUCGGUUUCGGCGGUGGGAUAAAGGCCUUAGGAAUGUAGCUGCUUUCGGGCAGUGUUAUAGCCUAGGGUGCAAUGCCGCCUGCUGGGACCGAGGACCGCGCUUCGGCUAGGAUGCUGGCGUAAUGGUUGUAAGCGGCCCGUCUUGAAACACGGACCAAGGAGUCUAACAUCUAUGCGAGUGUUUGGGUGUCAAACCCAUACGCGUAAUGAAAGUGAACGGAGGUGAGAACCCUUAAGGGUGCAUCAUCGACCGAUCCUGAUGUUCUCGGAUGGAUUUGA
rnacentral:rRNA from 1 species